rnacentral:rRNA from 1 species
AUGGCUGUCGUCAGCUCGUGCCGUGAGGUGUUGGGUUAAGUCCCGCAACGAGCGCAACCCCUACUGCCAGUUACUAACAGGUAACGCUGAGGACUCUGGCGGAACUGCCGGUGACAAAACCGGAGGAAGGGUGGGGAUGACGUCAAGUCAUCAUGGCCCCUAUGUCCAGGGCUACACACGUGCUACAAUGGGCGAUACAGAGUGACGCGAAGCCGCGAGGUGGAGCAAAUCGCAGAAAAUCGCUCUCAGUUCGGAUUGGGAGUCUGAAACCCGACUCCAUGAAGGUGGAAUCGCUAGUAAUCGCGCAUCAGCAUGGCCGCGGUCGAAUACGUUCCCGGGCCUU